CACGUAGGGGGCGAGCGUUGUCCGGAUUUAUUGGGCGUAAAGAGCUCGUAGGCGGUUCGAUAAGUCGGGUGUGAAAACUCUGGGCUCAACUCAGAGACGCCACCCGAUACUGUUGUGACUUGAGUCCGGUAGGGGAGUAUGGAAUUCCCGGUGUAGCGGUGAAAUGCGCAGAUAUCGGGAGGAACACCAGUGGCGAAGGCGGUACUCUGGGCCGGAACUGACGCUGAGGAGCGAAAGCGUGGGGAGCAAACAGG
rnacentral:rRNA from 1 species